rnacentral:rRNA from 1 species
UACAGAGGUCUCAAGCGUUGUUAGGAUUCAUUGGGCGUAAAGGGUGCGUAGGCGGCGCGGUAAGUCGGGUGUGAAAUCUCGGAGCUUAACUCCGAAACUGCAUUCGAUACUGCCGUGCUUGAGGACUGGAGAGGAGACUGGAAUUUACGGUGUAGCGGUGAAAUGCGUAGAUAUCGGGAGGAACACCAGUGGCGAAGGCGACUACCUGGCCUGUUCUUGACGCUGAGGCGCGAAAGCUAGGGGAGCAAACGGG